rnacentral:rRNA from 1 species
UCGAGAAUCUUUCACAAUGGGGGCAACCCUGAUGGAGCGACGCCGCGUGGAGGAUAAGGUCUUCGGAUUGUAAACUCCUGUCUGCGAGAGUCAGUACCGCAAGAGGAAGAGACGGCUAACUCUGUGCCAGCAGCCGCGGUAAACAGAGGUCUCAAGCGUUGUUCGGAAUUAUGGGCGUAAAGGGUGCGUAGGCUGCGCAGAAAGUCAGAUGUGAAAUCCGGGGGCUCAACCUCCGAAUGCAUCCGAUACUCCUGUGCUGAGGACUGGAGAGGAGCUUGGAAUUCUCGGUGUAGCAGUGAAAUGCGUAGAGAUCGAGAGGAACACUAGUGGCGAAGGCUGGGCUCUGGACAGUAUCUGACGCUGAGGCACGAAGGUCAGGGGA